GACGAACGCUGGCGGCGUGCUUAACACAUGCAAGUCGAACGGAAAGGCCCUGCUUUUGUGGGGUGCUCGAGUGGCGAACGGGUGAGUAACACGUGAGUAACCUGCCCUUGACUUUGGGAUAACUUCAGGAAACUGGGGCUAAUACCGGAUAGGAGCUCCUGCUGCAUGGUGGGGGUUGGAAAGUUUCGGCGGUUGGGGAUGGACUCGCGGCUUAUCAGCUUGUUGGUGGGGUAGUGGCUUACCAAGGCUUUGACGGGUAGCCGGCCUGGGAGGGUGACCGGCCACAUUGGGACUGAGAUACGGCCCAGACUCCUACGGGAGGCAGCAGUGGGGAAUAUUGCACAAUGGGCGGAAGCCUGAUGCAGCAACGCCGCGUGCGGGAUGACGGCCUUCGGGUUGUAAACCGCUUUCGCCUGUGACGAAGCGUGAGUGACGGUAAUGGGUAAAGAAGCACCGGCUAACUACGUGCCAGCCGCCGCAGUAAGAC
rnacentral:rRNA from 1 species